GCUGGGCUCGUGCCCCAGGAAGUGCCCAGAACUCGCUCACCUUCUGCGGCGACGGGUGUUUGGACUUAACGGUUGCUUGAGGCCUGGAAGCUGGUGACCCGGCUGUGGACAGUGAACGACACAGAGCGACCAGAAGGCCGGACAGACUGCAAGCGGGUGGUGUGCAGGGGGCCUCCCUGUCUGCCUGGCCAUGUGUCCCUCCCUGACCCUGCUGCUGCUCCUGCUCCUGCUCCCCUCCGCCCGGGUCCCCGGCGCCAGCACCAUGCCCAUCCUGUACACCAGGCUCCAGGACAACCUACAGAAUCCACUGGAAGGAGCCCAAGCCGCAGGCAACACAGGACAGGGGGCAGCCCUCGACCAGGCCUCCCUCACGGGCUGUCCACCCAGGUCAUGAGGUGGCUGCUGUGACCGGCCCCCCAGACACCUGGGAAGAAGGUCUGCAAGGCCAGACUGGGGCACGCGCCAUCCUUAACGGACUGUGCCAUGGGGACUGGCCGACGCCCCAAACCUCAGCACCCACGCCUCGCCCCUCCCCCAGCCCUUGAGCUAAGCAGUACCCUGCAGGGAGUGGGGACCAGCCCCCUUCCUGGCUCCAUGUGCAAAUACAGCUGUGACAGCC